GAUCGACAUGCACUUGGAUCAUUGCAGUUCCUGGGCCUGCUGUCAUCUCCCACUUCAGUACUUCCCACAUAUGACUACCAACUGUUAGACGAUGUGCUGCCAGACCAGCAUUUCAUUUCUUGGACAUCCGGCUAUUUACCCAGGAAAAGUCAUCCUUUGACUAUUUUCCAUGACCUUUCUCAUCUGACUCGUGAUCUGCCCGUCUUGUUACUCCCUAGCAGUGUGGUAAGUGAAUUCUUGUUUCUGCCUUAAAUCUACUUCUGUCUCAGCCAAAUUCAUUCUCCCAAGAAGACAAGGAUCGAGGACUGUGGAGCCAACCCAGACUUGCCACGGCUAACAAUGUUUCCUGGGAUCGCCUCCCAAAUAAACUGCUUGUACUUGAACCCUUAUCUCAGAGUUGACUGCUGGAAGAACCCCAGAUAAGACAAUCUGCGAGUAGAAAUGUCAGAUAAUGCAGUUAGAUAUGAAUCUGGAAUUCAGAGAAAAGGUUCAUGCAAUUUGUGAGUCAUCAUCAAAAAGAUGUCAUUUGUUCUGGUUAUCUACUGCAGGAAGACAGAUUACCCUAAAAUUUAGUGGCUGAAAACAACUAUAUUUUAUUGUAGCUUACAAUUUUGUGAAUUGGGAAUUAGAGCCUGUCUCAUCUGGGCAACUCUUCUGUUCCCCAUGGCAUCACCAUGAGGUCACUCCAUGAUAUUCAGCUACCAGACGAACUCAUCUGGAGUAUCCAAGUAUUCAUUCACGCUCAUAUCUGGCACCUUGGCAGGGAUGACUGGAAGCCUGGGCUCAGCUGGGACUGCUGACCAUAGUACCUACAAAUGGCCUCUUCAGCAUGGCUUCUUAAAUGGCUGCUCGGAGCUACCAAGAGACAGGAAGUAGAAGCUGCUGGUUUCUUAAGACCCGGAAAUGGUACAAUUUCAUUCCUGCCAUUGGUCAAAGCAGUCACAGAGCCUUCCAAGAGGAAACACAGACCCUCACUUCUCACUGGGAAGUAUGUCAAAGAGUUUGGGGCAUUUUUUUUUUUUUUUUUUGAGACGGAGUCUUGCUCUGUCUCCCAGGCUGGAGUGCAGUGGCAAGAUCUCGGCUCACUGCAACCUCCGCAUCCCAGAUUCAAGCAAUUCUCCUGCCUUGGCCUCCCAAGUAGCUGGGAUUACAGGCGUGCAUCACCACACUCGGCUAAUUUUUUGGUAUUUUUAGUAGAGACAGGGUUUCACCAUAUUGGCCAGGCUGGUCUCGAACUCCUGACCUUGUGAUUCACCCGCCUCGGCCUCCCAAAGUGCUGGGAUUACAGACAUGAGCCACUGCGCCCAGCCCUGAGGCUGUCUUUAAUCCACUACAACAUUGCAAAGCUGUGAGCCAGGAUGAGAAUGCCAGAGGUAUGAAUGUGGAAGUCCAAGCACUGAAACUUUCAAUGUUUAGAGACCAGUGAGAUAAAGAACCAGCAACAGAGACUCAGAACUAUAUCAUAUUCUGCUGAUAAGCCAAUAAGAUGAUAAUGAUAACUAAGAAUUGACAUUGGCUUCAGUGAUGUAGACAUAAUUGGGGACCUUGACAAGAGCAGUUUACUGGGGGUAGUUGAGUUGAAAGUUUGAUUGGUUCAAGAGAGAAUGGAAUGAGUGGAAAGAUAGUUCGUGAGUGCUAGCAAUUAUUUAGAGAAUUUCUGCUAUAAAUGGGAACAGGAGGAUGUAUCAGGAGCUAAUGGGAGAAAUGAGGUCAACAUUAUUUCCUGUGUAGCUUUUUCUUAUGCCCAAAUUCCACUGGAUAUCAUCCACUUCUGGUUACUUCUGGUUUGAGAUGUAUAGGUGAAGGAAUAGUUUUGGAUCCUCCUUUAUUACCUGUUUUAUUUGCAUAACCGGACAAUAACUAAACUUGCUUUAAAUAUCUCUUAAAGCGUUUUAAAUUCAAAAUUGGAGAGAGGAAUAUGAGAGUGGUUUUUGGUCAUCGUUUAGCCAUAUACAAUAUUGUCUUACCUUCUGCAUUUGAAGUUUUUGAUAUCUGAUAAAUGUUUGUAUUGUGUAGUUGAACAAGAAUUUGCCACAUGAAGGUUUACAGUUGUAGUUUUAUGUCAAGUUCUUUAUAGUAGUCCCCUCUCAUCUUUAUCCUCCACUUGGAACUAUCUACAGUAGUUCCAGGACCCCCCCUCCCAGUGGGUGAUUGAAACCAUGGAUAGUACCAAACCCUAUAUAUUUAUAUUAUGUUUUUCCUAUACAUACAUACCUAUGAUGUUUAAUUUCUAAAUUAGGCAGAGUAAGAGAUUAACAACAACUAAUAAUGAAAUAGAACAGUUAUAACAAUAUACUAUAAUAAAAGCUACAUGAAUGUGGUUUCUCCCUCUCAAAAUAUCUUACUGUACUCUCCUAUCUUUGGUCCAUGGUUGUCUGUGGGUGACUGAAACUGCACAUAAGGCAGGGGACUACUGUAACCACAGGUAUUGGAAGGCAGCAUAGCAGAGUAGUUAGGGUCAGGACUGUGGAGGAAGACUGCCUAGGUUCAUAUUAUGACAUAAACUCUCCAUGCCUCAAUUUUCUUAUCUAAUGUGGAGAUAAUAGUAGUAACUCAUUUGUAAAGUUAUUAUAAGGAUUAAAUGAGAAAAUACAUGUAAAACGCUUAGAGUAGCACAGGUCAUCACUUACUUAGUAUGUAGUAAGUAUUUGAUGAGGUUAGUUACUAUUGUUAUUGGGCAGUGAAUCAGUUGGGAAUGCUUUCGGCUACAAGGAGGAGAUUAGUGAUUGACAGUGGCUUCAAUAAGAAGCCUUUAUUUCUCUCACAGAGCAGGCACUGCAGAGGUAGGCAGCUGCUGAAACUGGUUCCUUUCUACAGCUCCAGGGCUCUGAGCUGGCCACUCUUCAGCUCCCUUGGACUCCCCCUGUUGUUUGCCACACCACCAAUCAUCACAUUCUCAAAGGCAUUCAAGGCAGACAGCUGGGAACAAGGAAGGGCAGAGAGUUUCUCUUCAUGAGCCUCCGUCUUAUUAGAGAAGAAAAAAGCCUGCCUUUUAUGUGUUCUUUUGUCUUGUUUUUUCCUGACUGUCUUCGUUUGAGAAAGUCCUCAGGCCAAGAAAUGGAGGUGCUGGCAGCUGGAGAUCAGGCUGUCUGUCCAUGGUGCACUGAUGUGGCACAGGCAAGGAAUAUGGCCGAGGCACCAAUUUGCUGCUACUGCUGUCUAACAGGCAUUGGAAGUCUUAUGCGUUCAAAAAUAAACUUCUGAUUUCUACUCCCAAA
rnacentral:antisense_RNA from 1 species